AAUACAGCCAAAAAAACAGCGGGUCCUUGGACAGCAUCCCACUGAAAAUGCUUGGUCCUGGAAGGGUUAAAGAGCAAGUCAUUUCAAAUGUAACCUGAUCCAAUUUGUGUUCGCUAGAUGGCACUGGUGCUCACUAGCAUAACACAUACCGAUCAAGGCUAUGUUAUAUAAAAUUAUUAAAUUGAAACCACUUUUUAAAAACAAAAACAGGACAUUACUUAUUUGGGUUUGGGCAAUGUUAACUAAUCCUUGUUUACAAGCCACAUUCUCCCAUAGCCUCCUUCAUUAACCUAAUUCUAGAUAUUCGGUAAAUGUGCGGUAGCAAAGCAAUCCGUCUUCAACAUACAUGGAAAAGUGUAGAGAUGGCUUGACCGCAACAAGUAGCUAAUUAAAUUACAUCUACAUCUGGAAGACAAUGAAAGUAAGAAUAUAAUUUCAUAAUUAAAUAGGGCUCUGGAAUGCCUAGUAUACAGAUUUUACUAGACAAAUGGGAUUUUUUAAUUCUCUAAAAUAAAUGUUUUUUGUGUUCCCCAAAAAGGUACAAAAUCGCUAUUCAUGUACAAAUGGCAGUUUAUAUAUCACUACCUUUCCGGUUCUCUUAAUUUAAUUUUCAGGAGAGAAAGUGUCUAACUUCCACGUUAGUGGUAUGUUUAUAACAUAUACAUAUUCAAACACCUUCAAGAAUCAUUUUAAGCAGCUAUAAACUAAUAUUUUGAUAAUCAGUUAACAGCGGUGGCGUAGUAGCAGGCAGUCAAGGCUGGUCAACAGCAGGAAUAGCUAACACAGAAACAGAAACUGCAGUUCCCUAUCAAGUACGAAAUGUAAUUAUUACCUCAUGGGUGUUUAUCCUUACAGACCCUGUAACCUGAAUAGAUAACAAAGACUGCUCGUCAGAGUCUGUGACGCAGUCAUGUCAGCCCCCGAGGGCAUAAAUAUAUUAAACACACACAGAUCUCAAUAUAAUUUUUCCUUUCAUCCAACCUCAGACGAGAGAUAGAGACUACGAUGCACCCUGAAAUAAUGCCCACGAAGAUGCCAUGCUCAUAGUGGAGAGGGCAGUGAGCUUCUCUGGAUGAGCAAAAAUGAGAAUAAAUUCACUCCAACCGCAGCUACUGCAGCCUGGGGGGAGAGCACAAAAUCAACCGACUUACACUGCUUGAUCCCUGGGAAGGGGCGACUCAAGCCACCAACUUCAAGCAGGGCACAAGGCCGCAGUGGGACGUAAUAAACAAGCUGCAGUGCACAAAUAUGCAUAAUUAGUGAAACUAAUAAACAGAUUAUUUUAAUUAUCACAUA